GGAAUCUUGGACAAUGGGCGCAAGCCUGAUCCAGCCAUGCCGCGUGAGUGACGAAGGCCUUAGGGUCGUAAAGCUCUUUCGCCAGGGAUGAUAAUGACAGUACCUGGUAAAGAAACCCCGGCUAACUCCGUGCCAGCAGCCGCGGUAAUACGGAGGGGGUUAGCGUUGUUCGGAAUUACUGGGCGUAAAGCGCGCGUAGGCGGACUGGAAAGUUGGGGGUGAAAUCCCGGGGCUCAACCUCGGAACUGCCUCCAAAACUCCCAGUCUAGAGUUCGAGAGAGGUGAGUGGAAUUCCGAGUGUAGAGGUGAAAUUCGUAGAUAUUCGGAGGAACACCAGUGGCGAAGGCGGCUCACUGGCUCGAUACUGACGCUGAGGUGCGAAAGUGUGGGGAGCAAA
rnacentral:rRNA from 1 species